AUACGCAGGGGGCGAGCGUUGUCCGGAAUUACUGGGCGUAAAGGGUGCGUAGGCGGAAUGUCAAGUCAGAUGUGAAAUACCCGGGCUUAACCCGGGGGCUGCAUUUGAAACUGACAUCCUUGAGUGCAGGAGAGGCAAGUGGAAUUCCUAGUGUAGCGGUGAAAUGCGUAGAUAUUAGGAGGAACACCGGUGGCGAAGGCGACUUGCUGGUCUGUAACUGACGCUGAGGGACGAAAGCGGGGGGAGUAAACAGGAUUAGAUACCCUGGUAGUCCACGCCGUAAACGAUGGAUACUAGGUGUGGGGUCCGAUAGGAUUCCGUGCCGCAGCAAACGCAAUAAGUAUCCCGCCUGGGGAGUACGAUCGCAAGGUUGAAACUCAAAGGAAUUGACGGGG
rnacentral:rRNA from 1 species